rnacentral:misc_RNA from 1 species
AGUAGGUUUAGGUGGAUUUUAAAGUUGGAAAACUACAGAUGUACAGGUUUGAAUUGCUUUAUUGCUUUUGAAUAUGCAGUGCUCUGUUAAGAAAAUGGCUGAGGGAGGGUCCUGCCAAUUGGUUCAAGUUAAGGAAUAGCUCAUAAUAAUUUACAAAUCCAAGGGCUAUGAUUUCUUCUUCAGUUUUUUAAUAUACUUUAGGCAUUUUGAUGUGAAUGCUGCACUACCUUGUCCUUGCCUG